CAGCCGCCGCGGUAAUACGUAGGGUGCGAGCUUUAAUCGGAUUUACUGGGCGUAAAGCGUGCGCAGGCGGCCCGUUAAGACAGGUGUGAAAUCCCUGGGCUCAACCUAGGAAUUGCGCUUGUGACUGGCGGGCUCGAGUACGGUAGAGGGGGGUGGAAUUCCUGGUGUAGCAGUGAAAUGCGUAGAGAUCAGGAGGAACACCGAUGGCGAAGGCAGCCCCCUGGGCCUGUACUGACGCUCAUGCACGAAAGCGUGGGGAGCAAACAGGAUUAGAUACCCUGGUAGUCCACGCCCUAAACGAUGGGUACUAGCCGUUUGGUGCGCGAUAGCGCUGAGUGGCGAAGCUAACGCGUGAAGUACCCCGCCUGGGGAGUACGGCCGCAAGGUUGAAACUUAAAGGAAUUGGCGGG
rnacentral:rRNA from 1 species